CCGAGUUUACAACUCCCAAACCCCAUGUGAACCUUACCUUAACGUUGCUUCGGCGGUCUCGCCCCGGUGCCCUCAUGGGCCCGGACCCAGGCGCCCGCCGGAGGACCACCAAACCAUUGUGUUGUCUAGUGGCAUUGUCUGAGUGGCGUAAAGCAAAAUAAAUCA
rnacentral:misc_RNA from 1 species